rnacentral:rRNA from 1 species
UGGGGAAUUUUGCACAAUGGGGGAAACCCUGAUGCAGCGACGCCGCGUGAUUUAGAAGGCCUUCGGGUUGUAAAAAUCUUUUCUAUGGGAAGAAAAUGACAGUACCAUAGGAAUAAGGACCGGCUAAUUACGUGCCAGCAGCCGCGGUAAUACGUAAGUUCCGAGCGUUGUCCGGAAUCAUUGGGCGUAAAGGGUACGUAGGCGGGUAAGCAAGUUAGAAGUGAAAUCCUAUAGCUCAACUAUAGUAAGCUUUUAAAACUGCUCAUCUUGAGGUAUGGAAGGGAAAGUGGAAUUCCUAGUGUAGCGGUGAAAUGCGCAGAUAUUAGGAGGAAUACCGGUGGCGAAGGCGACUUUCUGGCCAUAACCUGACGCUGAGGUACGAAAGCGUGGGUAGCAAACAGG